CACGUAGGGGGCGAGCGUUAUCCGGAUUUAUUGGGUUUAAAGGGUGCGUAGGCGGCUUUUUUAAGUCAGCGGUGAAAUUUUGCAGCUUAACUGUAACAGUGCCGUUGAUACUGUUUGGCUAGGAUUUGGUUGUAGUGUGCGGAAUGUGUGGUGUAGCGGUGAAAUGCUUAGAUAUCACACAGAACACCGAUUGCGAAGGCAGCACACUAAGUCAUUAUUGACGCUGAGGCACGAAAGUGUGGGGAUCAAACAGGAUUAGAUACCCGGGUA
rnacentral:rRNA from 1 species